rnacentral:rRNA from 1 species
GUGCCAGCCGCCGCGGUAAUACGUAGGUGGCAAGCGUUGUCCGGAUUUAUUGGGCGUAAAGGAUGCGCAGGCGGAUAUUUAAGUGUGAUGUGAAAUCCCAGGGCUUAACUGUGGGGGUUCAUUUCAAACUGGAUGUCUUGAGUGCAGGAGAGGAAAGCAGAAUUCCAAGUGUAGCGGUGAAAUGCGUAGAGAUUUGGAGGAAAACCAGUGGCGAAGGCGACUUUCUGGACUGUAACUGACGCUGAGGCACGAAAGCAUGGGGAGCAAACAGGAUUAGAUACCCUGGUAGUCCAUGCCGUAAACGAUGAGUGCUAAGUGUAAGAGGGUU